AACAAGGCGUACCUGCGGACCUGCGGAAGGAUCAUUACCGAGUGUGAACCCCCCCGUAAAAAAGAGGGGUUACCUCCCGUCCUUUGCUGGGAACCCCUUUCCAACUUGGAAGGAGGUUGUUUUCAGACCCUUCUGCUUCGGUGGGGUAACCCACCGGAACAACCUCAAAAAUAUUCUCAAUUCAAAACCGUUCAGUCCGAGAACUUUUUUGAAAAGCGAAAAAACUUUUAGCAACGGAUC
rnacentral:misc_RNA from 1 species